rnacentral:rRNA from 1 species
AUUGAACGCUGGCGGCAGGCCUAACACAUGCAAGUCGAACGGUAACAGGAAGCAGCUUGCUGCUUCGCUGACGAGUGGCGGACGGGUGAGUAAUGUCUGGGAAACUGCCUGAUGGAGGGGGAUAACUACUGGAAACGGUAGCUAAUACCGCAUAACGUCGCAAGACCAAAGAGGGGGACCUUAGGGCCUCUUGCCAUCGGAUGUGCCCAGAUGGGAUUAGCUAGUAGGUGGGGUAACGGCUCACCUAGGCGACGAUCCCUAGCUGGUCUGAGAGGAUGACCAGCCACACUGGAACUGAGACACGGUCCAGACUCCUACGGGGGGCAGCAGUGGGGAAUAUUGCACAAUGGGCGCAAGCCUGAUGCAGCCAUGCCGCGUGUAUGAAGAAGGCCUUCGGGUUGUAAAGUACUUUCAGCGGGGAGGAAGGGAGUAAAGUUAAUACCUUUGCUCAUUGACGUUACCCGCAGAAGAAGCACCGGCUAACUCCGUG